rnacentral:rRNA from 1 species
GACGAACGCUGGCGGCGUGCUUAACACAUGCAAGUCGAGCGGAAAGGCCCUUCGGGGUACUCGAGCGGCGAACGGGUGAGUAACACGUGAGUAACCUGCCCCAGACUUUGGGAUAACCCUCGGAAACGGGGGCUAAUACCGGAUACGACACAGCUUCGCAUGGGGUCUGUGUGGAAAGUUUUUCGGUUUGGGAUGGGCUCGCGGCCUAUCAGCUUGUUGGUGGGGUGAUGGCCUACCAAGGCGACGCCGGGUAGCCGGCCUGAGAGGGCGAACAGCCACACGGGGACUGAGACACGGCGCAGACUCCAACGGGAGGCAGCAGGGGGGAGUAUGGCACAAUGGGCGGGAGCCUGAUGCAGCGACGCCGCGUGAGGGAUGACGGCCUUCGGGUUAUAAACCUCUUUCAGCAGGGACGAAGCGUAAGUGACGGUACCUGCAGAAGAAGCGCCGGCCAACUACGUG